AUGUUUGUUCUUUCAAAAUACAAUAAUCCUAGUAGAACGCAUGGAAGAUACUCUGCAGGUGGAAAAGCAAUUAAGGAGGAAGAGCCAAGUGUCCUUAUUUCCGAACAGCCAAUUAAGAUAGGUGGUUCAAUUUCAAAAGCUGCAAUGGUUUGUAAUUUGUACAGACACCACGUUUUUUUUUCUGGACGAAGUUCAGACACCACGUUCGUUAGCAAAGAGCAAAGAGUUGCAUCAUUUCCAACCCUUUUUCUCUACCGACAGCAACCUUCUGCAUUUGAAUCCACAGACCAGACCUCUUUUUUAGGUACAGAAAGGGAAAAGCCCAGAAAAAGAGUACACAGACACUAG
rnacentral:lncRNA from 1 species